rnacentral:rRNA from 1 species
AUGAUGCCUCGCUCCCGAGUUCCAGAUCGGGAGAGGAGCUCCCGAUCCAGAGCCCCGCCGCCAGUGACCGGAACUCGCCGUAGAUGGGGAACCGCCGCCACCGCCUUGGUCUUCCCCGACCGCGCCGCCAUGGAUGCCCGUCUCCGCCUCUGGUUGGAUCCGGCCGAGAACGGAGCCCCGCCGACCUCCCGUGGCCAGAUCCGCCUGCUCCCGAACCCGCCGACCUCUCCCCGUUGCCAGCGUCGUGUCGCCCUCGCCGGACGCCGCCGUUGUCCUGCUUCGAGGAGGAGCACGCCCCACUCAACCCUCUGCGUCGUUGACCGUGCCGCCAGGUGGGCCUCGCCCGCGGCCCAGCAGACCCACCCGUCCGCAUCGGGCCUCCCUCAGCCUGCUUCCUCGUCAUGGGCCGAGCCAACAUGGAGAUGGCCCCAUUCUAAGCAUCAUCAUUGUCCAUCCAAGCUCAAAAAGCAUAGCCCCCAGAUGUUGUAUUGCUACUCCCAACUCUGUCGACUCAUUCUGGAUCUGGCUUCGCACAGAUGUAUCACCAGUUGCAGCAUCUCUCUGAAUGGAGUGAAAAAAACCUUGAUUCCAAGGCGCUUCGCAAUCUGUAUAGCAAAUGUGCCAAUUCUGCUUGAUCCACUGUGA